UUAGGAAUCUUCCACAAUGGGCGAAAGCCUGAUGGAGCGACGCCGCGUGAGGGAUGAAGGCCUUAGGGUUGUAAACCUCUAAAAGAGGGACGAUAAUGACGGUACCUCUUGAAUAGCACCGGCUAACUCCGUGCCAGCAGCCGCGGUAAUACGGAGGGUGCAAGCGUUAUCCGGAAUCACUGGGCGUAAAGGGCGCGUAGGCGGUCUGUUAAGUCCGAUGUUAAAUCCCGGGGCUCAACCCCGGACAAGCGUUGGAUACUGGCAGGCUAGACGGUUGGAGAGGCGAGUGGAAUUACCAGUGUAGCGGUGGAAUGCGUAGAUACUGGUAGGAACACCCAUUGCGAAGGCAGCUCGCUGGACAACACGUGACGCUGAGGCGCGAAAGUGUGGGGAGCAAACC
rnacentral:rRNA from 1 species